AUUGAACGCUGGCGGCAGGCCUAACACAUGCAAGUCGAACGAGUGGCGGACGGGUGAGUAAUGUCUGGGAAACUGCCUGAUGGAGGGGGAUAACUACUGGAAACGGUAGCUAAUACCGCAUACCAUCAGAUGUGCCCAGAUGGGAUUAGCUGGUAGGUGGGGUAACGGCUCACCUAGGCCACGAUCCCUAGCUGGUCUGAGAGGAUGACCAGCCACACUGGAACUAGGACACGGUCCAGACUCCUACGGUAGGCAGCAGUGGGGAAUAUUGCACAAUGGGCGAAAGCCUGAUGCAGCCAUGCCGCGUGUGUGAAGAAGGCCUUCGGGUUGUAAAGCACUUUCAGCGGGGAGGCGUUACCCGCAGAAGAAGCACCGGCUAACUCCGUGCCAGCCGCCGCGGUAAUAC
rnacentral:rRNA from 1 species